AUAAUCACCAUCUAAGUAGGAAAGGAUAUGCCGGUCUUGAGGAAGAGAUGAUGGUUGCAAGUGGAUCAACUGAAACUAUUGAUCGAAGCAUAUUGUGGAAGAAAGCAAGGGAAAAAAAAGGACGGCACCUUUGAUGAAGUGGCCAUACCAGUAAUUGAGAAAAUAGACAAGCUAUUGAAAGAGUCUCAAGAGAAUGGUAGAAGUGUUAGUGGAAGUAAUGAUAUACUUGUGGAAGCAUUGGGUACUCCUGAGUAUAGUGGUCGAGUUAGGGCCAAAGGGAAGCACUACACACCUCACCAAUAUUUCAAUAGUGUUGCAGAUCGUGCUAUCAGGGACUUCAUAGCAGCAUCUAAAGAAGAACAAAGAAUAUUUCAGGCAGAAGUGCUAGCAAAACUGUCUCAAGUAGGAGCUGCUACUCCCCAAUCUGAUGUUAGCAGUUCAAACAUGAAGCAAAAACAACUUCUCCUACCAGAAGCAGUGGAUAAGCCAAUCCGUAAAGUUGAAGAUGUGACCCCACCAGAAGCAAUAGAACCACAGAA